CCUAGGGGAGGCAGCAGUGGGGAAUAUUGGACAAUGGGCGAAAGCCUGAUCCAGCCAUGCCGCGUGUGUGAAGAAGGCCUUCGGGUUGUAAAGCACUUUCAGUGGGGAAGAAAGCCUUGGGGCUAAUACCCUCGAGGAAGGACAUCACCCACAGAAGAAGCACCGGCUAACUCCGUGCCAGCAGCCGCGGUAAUACGGAGGGUGCGAGCGUUAAUCGGAAUUACUGGGCGUAAAGCGCGCGUAGGCGGUCUGAUAAGCCGGUUGUGAAAGCCCCGGGCUCAACCUGGGAACGGCAUCCGGAACUGUCAGGCUAGAGUGCAGGAGAGGAAGGUAGAAUUCCCGGUGUAGCAGUGAAAUGCGUAGAGAUCGGGAGGAAUACCAGUGGCGAAGGCGGCCUUCUGGACUGACACUGACGCUGAGGUGCGAAAGCGUGGGUAGCAAACAGGAUUAGAUACCCGGGUAGUC
rnacentral:rRNA from 1 species